rnacentral:rRNA from 1 species
AUAUUGCGCAAUGGCCGCAAGGCUGACGAAGCGACGCCGCGUGGGGGAGGAAGGCCUUCGGGUUGUAAACCCCUGUUGCCCGGGACGAACCGCCUCAUUUGUGAGGUUUGACGGUACCGGGUGAGGAAGCACCGGCUAACUCCGUGCCAGCAGCCGCGGUAAUACGGAGGGUGCGAGCGUUGUCCGGAAUCACUGGGCGUAAAGGGCGCGUAGGCGGCACGGUAAGCGUGUGGUGAAAGCUCGGGGCUCAACCCCGAGUCGGCCAUGCGAACUGCCGCGCUUGAGCACUGUAGAGGCAGACGGAAUUCCGGGUGUAGCGGUGGAAUGCGUAGAGAUCCGGAAGAACACCGGUGGCGAAGGCGGUCUGCUGGGCAGUUGCUGACACUGAGGCGCGACAGCGUGGGGAGCAAA